GGGUGAGUAACGCGUGGGAACGUGCCUUUCACUACGGAAUAGCUCUUGGAAACGAGUGGUAAUACCGUAUACGCCCUCCGGGGGAAAGAUUUAUCGGUGAAAGAUCGGCCCGCGUUAGAUUAGUUUGUUGGUGGGGUAAUGGCCUACCAAGACUACGAUCUAUAGCUGGUCUGAGAGGAUGAUCAGCCACACUGGGACUGAGACACGGCCCAGACUCCUACGGGAGGCAGCAGUGGGGAAUCUUGCACAAUGGGCGAAAGCCUGAUGCAGCCAUGCCGCGUGAAUGAUGAAGGCCUUAGGGUUGUAAAAUUCUUUCGCUAGGGAUGAUAAUGACAGUACCUAGUAAAGAAGCCCCGGCUAACUUCGUGCCAGCAGCCGCGGUAAUACGAAGGGGGCUAGCGUUGUUCGGAAUUACUGGGCGUAAAGCGCGCGUAGGCGGGCUAUUAAGCCAGAUGUGAAAGCCCGGAGCUCAACUCCGGAACUGCAUUUGGAACUGGUAGCCUAGAGACCAGGAGAGGUUAGCGGAAUACCGAGUGUAGAGGUGAAAUUCGUAGAUAUUCGGUGGAACACCAGUGGCGAAGGCGGCUAACUGGACUGGUA
rnacentral:rRNA from 1 species